rnacentral:rRNA from 1 species
UAGGGAAUCUUCCACAAUGGGCGCAAGCCUGAUGGAGCAACGCCGCGUGAGUGAAGAAGGGUUUCGGCUCGUAAAACUCUGUUGUUAAAGAAGAACAUAUCUGAGAGUAACUGUUCAGGUAUUGACGGUAUUUAACCAGAAAGCCACGGCUAACUACGUGCCAG